UACGUAUGGUGCGAGCGUUAAUCGGAAUUACUGGGCGUAAAGCGUGCGCAGGCGGUUUUGUAAGCCAGAUGUGAAAGCCCCGGGCUUAACCUGGGAAUGGCAUUUGGGACUGCAAGGCUUGAGUGCGGCAGAGGAGACUGGAAUUCCUGGUGUAGCAGUGAAAUGCGUAGAUAUCAGGAGGAAUACCGAUGGCGAAGGCAGGUCUCUGGGCUGACACUGACGCUCAUGCACGAAAGCGUGGGGAGCAAACAGG
rnacentral:rRNA from 1 species